rnacentral:lncRNA from 1 species
CUGUGUAUGGCAGGGGGCGGAGGCAGGGAGAAGGAGUGAGAGAGUGCUCUGGUGUCUCUUCUAAUAAAGACACCAAUCCUAUUGGAUCAGUGUUGCACCCUUACAAUCUCAUUUAAACUUAAUUACUUCCAUAUAAGUCUCAUCUCCAAAUACAGCCACACUGAGGGUUAAGGAUUCUACAUAUGAAUUUUGAGAGGCAAAAACUCUCAGUCUACAACACUAGUUUUUUUUUUUUUUUUUAAUUUUGUAGAUUGUUCUUUUGGUGUCCUAUUUAAAAAAUUAUUUCCUAACCCAAGGUCACAAAAGUUUCCUUCUGUAUUUUAUUGUUUUAGAUUUUACAUUUAGGUCUAUGAUCCAUUUUGAUUUAAUUUUCAUAUCUCUGUGAGCCUUGCUCAACUCAAAUAUGGGUUCUAAGAGUGAUUUUGAAGGUUCUACCAGAUUUUCUACAUAGACGAUCAUGUUAUCUGGUUUGUUGGAGUUCAGGGUUGUCGCUGAGUGGUGGAAAUAUUGUUCUCAACCAAAAAAAAAAAAAAAAAUGUGGGGAUUACAUGCCAGUACCAUCCACCCCUGCAUUAGAAGUUUUCAUCGAAGAGCUUCAUUUCACAAGCUUUCAGCGUUGAUCUCACCUCCUCGAAGAUGACACAUCUGAUCCCUCUGUCUAAAAUCUCAUUAAGCCUUGAACAUAUUAUGAUGAAUAAAAAUGUUAAGGGACAUCAUGAAGCUCAUUCUAGCCACAACUCUUCAAACUGCACCAUGGAUCAUUUUUGAAAGAUAACAUCUUUAACAUUAAGAAAUCUCAAGUUUUCCAUUUGAGAAAUCUUCUGGAUUCUGCAUUCCAGUGGUUCCACUGAAGCCAGUAGGGCUGAAUACCCCAUGUAGGAACAGACUCAGCACAAGAAUGUAGGUUCUACAUUCUUAUCAUUUCAUUCCCCAUGCCCUAACCAAUCAGUGAUCCCAAUUCCUCAGCCCACUAUUCUCCAAAAUUUCCUUAAAUAUGCCCAUCCAAAACCCCUCAGGGAAGCAGAUUUGAGGUUCCCUUCAGUUCCCUUCUUUGGUUGCCCUAUGAUUAUUAAACUAUUUCUCUACUGCAACUCUUGCUGUUUCAG